AUGUCGCAGACAACUUGCAACUGCCCCAACAAGUGUUUCCAAGGCACUUGUGACUGUUUAAUAAGGAAUGCGUUAUGCUGUUCGGGAUGCAACUGCGGUGGUGACUGCCAGAAAGACUUGUCUCUUGGAACAAUCAACCCGGCUGCUGCCCAAGGUACCACCCCAACGCUUGCCUCUGGCUCUUCUGCUGCCCAAGAUACUGCUCAAACAGAACCGCUUGCCCCGAGCUCUUCUACUGCCCAAGGUAUCACUCAACCACAACCACUUGCCCCGAGCUCUUCUACUGCGGCGGUGCCAAAGCCAGAGGCAGUGGUGAAGUGCAACUGCAGCUUUACCAAAUGCCUAAACUGCCAAUGCACAUGUUUCAGGGAGGGUUUGAGUUGCAUUAUGGGACGCUGCAAGUGCUAUGACUGCGAGAACAACGAUGAUUGGCUGGCCGACGAGGAUUACGUGGAGUGCGCGUGCAAAACCAAAAACUGCAAAACUGGAGCCUGCGGUUGCAACAAGAAACUGAAAGGGUGUAUGCAUCGGGUGUGA
rnacentral:rRNA from 1 species